GAUGAACGCUAGCUACAGGCUUAACACAUGCAAGUCGAGGGGCAGCAUGAUCUUAGCUUGCUAAGAUUGAUGGCGACCGGCGCACGGGUGAGUAACGCGUAUCCAACCUUCCCUGUACUAGGGGAUAGCCCGGCGAAAGUCGGAUUAAUACCCUAUGUUUUCCGAAGCGAGCAUUCAAUUUGGAACAAAGGUUUACCGGUAUAGGAUGGGGAUGCGUCUGAUUAGAUAGUAGGCGGGGUAACGGCCCACCUAGUCGACGAUCAGUAGGGGUUCUGAGAGGAAGGUCCCCCACAUUGGAACUGAGACACGGUCCAAACUCC
rnacentral:rRNA from 1 species